rnacentral:rRNA from 1 species
UACGAAGGGGGCUAGCGUUGUUCGGAAUUACUGGGCGUAAAGCGCGCGUAGGCGGCGUAUUAAGUCAGAGGUGAAAGGCCUGGGCUCAACCCAGGAACUGCCUUUGAGACUGGUGCGCUCGAGUUCGGAAGAGGGUAGUGGAAUUCCCAGUGUAGAGGUGAAAUUCGUAGAUAUUGGGAAGAACACCGGUGGCGAAGGCGGCUACCUGGUCCGAUACUGACGCUGAAGUGCGAAAGCGCGGGGAGCAAACAGG